UUGUUGCUUUGUAAUUUCCCUAUCAAGUUCAACCAAUGUUCAGUUUCUUCCCUAUUGGAUGAUCUUUACUCGGGGGAGAACUGGAGGCUUGGGAAUUUCAAACGUAGAUAUUUCUGGACGGAUGCUUCUAUAUGAAAGAGCCGUAUAAGCAUAAAAAUAGCAGUCCGUGUAUUCACGAGUCUCAAGAAAGGGUUUAUGAUGUAGAACGGAUUGCCAAUGAUUAUGAAAAUCGUUUGGGUCCCAGAUUAGUCAAACGAAUACAUUUUUUGAGAUAAUUUGAACGAACCCAUUUGGAUCUGAAAAGAUCCAUUCUUGAUCGGAAUCAAGCCAACCAACAAUACUCAUAAGGAGGAAAAGAAAGAGGAGAAGAAUGUACCACCACCACCACCACCAUGUCUAGGGCUUUCAUUGUGCUACUUAUGGCCGUGUUUUACUUCAUCCCCUCGUCUGAGGCGUUCUUGUUCUUCAAGAUGAACAAUCCGGAGAAGAAAGUGACGGUAACAAAUAACCACACAAAUAUUUUGAGUUUAAGAUGCUUCUCAUUCAGUGAAGACCUUAAAGUGCACUAUAUGAAGCCCAACGAAAAAAUGGAGUUCAAAUUCCACCAGAGCCGGGUUUUUCCUACAUCCACAAUGUAUAACUGCUCAACCAAUAUGGGUGCAUUUGUGGUGUUCAAAGAUGACUACGAGUGCAACAGCAUCUACAACCAUUGCCAAUGGAGAUGUGAUACCAAACAAGCCUACUUUUAUUCCCCUAAACAAGACACUUGGCUACCCUAUGAAUUCAACCCAAAUUACCAAUCUCAGUCCAGAGCUGGAGUUGUAAAAGGGAUGUAUAAGAACUGAAAAAUAACACUCAAACACGCUCGUGUUGAGUCGUCUUGGAUUAUAGAUUCAGUUACGCAUGAAUUAGAAUUUUUUUUUUUUUUUUUUUUUUUU